GAUGAACGCUGGCGGCGUGCCUAAUACAUGCAAGUCGAGCGAACAGAUAAGGAGCUUGCUCCUUUGACGUUAGCGGCGGACGGGUGAGUAACACGUGGAUAACCUACCUAUAAGACUGGGAUAACUUCGGGAAACCGGAGCUAAUACCGGAUAACAUAUUGAACCGCAUGGUUCAAUAGUGAAAGGCGGCUUUGCUGUCACUUAUAGAUGGAUCCGCGCCGUAUUAGCUAGUUGGUAAGGUAACGGCUUACCAAGGCAACGAUACGUAGCCGACCUGAGAGGGUGAUCGGCCACACUGGAACUGAGACACGGUACAGACUCCUACGGGAGGCAGCAGUAGGGAAUCUGCCGCAAUGGGCGAGAGCCUGACGGAGCAACGCCGCGUGAGUGAUGAAGGUCUUCGGAUCGUGAAACUCUGUUAUCAGGGAAGAACAAAUGUGUAAGUAACUGUGCACAUCUUGACGGUACCUGGUCAGAAAGCCACGGCUAACUACGUG
rnacentral:rRNA from 1 species